rnacentral:rRNA from 1 species
GAACUUGUUCCUUGGGUGGCGAGCGGCGGACGGGUGAGUAAUGCCUGGGAAAUUGCCCUGAUGUGGGGGAUAACCAUUGGAAACGAUGGCUAAUACCGCAUGAUAGCUUCGGCUCAAAGAGGGGGACCUUCGGGCCUCUCGCGUCAGGAUAUGCCCAGGUGGGAUUAGCUAGUUGGUGAGGUAAUGGCUCACCAAGGCGACGAUCCCUAGCUGGUCUGAGAGGAUGAUCAGCCACACUGGAACUGAGACACGGUCCAGACUCCUACGGGAGGCAGCAGUGGGGAAUAUUGCACAAUGGGCGCAAGCCUGAUGCAGCCAUGCCGCGUGUGUGAAGAAGGCCUUGGGGUUGUAAAGCACUUUCAGUAGGGAGGAAGGUGGUGUUGUUAAUAGCAGCAUCAUUUGACGUUACCUACAGAAGAAGCACCGGCUAACUCCGUGCCAGCAGCCGCGGUAAUACGGAGGGUGCGAGCGUUAAUCGGAAUUACUGGGCGUAAUGCGCAUGCAGGUGGUUUUGUUAAGUCAGAUGUGAAAGCCCGGGGCUCAACCUCCGGAAUUAGCAUUUGAAAACUGGCAAGGCUAGAGUACUGUUAGAGGGGGGGGUAGAAUUUUCAGG